AAGGGUACCAGACUCGGACCUUGAUUUCUAUAAGCCCUUAACACCUUGUUAAGGGUUUUCUUUUGUGGUUGUAAUGGGUGAGAGUUCUCCUGGAAACCUUCAUCAUGUUGCAACCUUCCGGUUCAUCAAGCCCUUUGAGUUCUUUCAGGGAGCCAGCCGAACUUGCAAAGAAGGAAUUUGGACUUGGCAAUAUCAGUAGACUGUAAAUAGUGGCCGAAGGACUUCCCCGAAAAUGCAACUCCUGAACAGGACCUUGCGGAAUUGUAACGCUAAAUGUUGAUGUUUUAAAAGUGUGGCGGUAAUUGUAAAGAAAAGUAAACCAUCUUUGUUGCUU